ACACCUCAACUCUCAUGGUUUGCCAUGAUGAGCUUGGACUUUGGGGGUCUUGCUGGCCUGUGGUCGGCUCCUCUCAAACGGAUCAGCUUGCCAGUGUUUGGUGGCACCACGGGUGUGAUAACUAUCUACGCUUGUGGUUUUCCACCAGAUAACCUUCAGCAAUGGAGGUUCACUGGAGCUCAUAAAUGUCUCUCCUCAGUGAAGACAGCUCUUUGAAC
rnacentral:misc_RNA from 1 species